UGCUGGCGACAGUGUACAAUUUCAGUUCUUUAUAUUUCAAACACACUUUGAGAAGAGUGUCUUUCGGGCCAGGGAUACAACUCAGUGGCACAGCACCUGCCUGGGACAUUUGUGGAUACAUGAGAUGCCCCAAGUGAAGUACUUAGUGAAUCUUCAAAAAUUCAUACUCAUUCUGUAAGGUUUAAUGAUCCUUAAUUUAUCAUUUCACUCCAUGACUUUUGAAAAUUCACUGAAAAAUUAAUCUACAAUGUAAUUCUUCAGCUAACUAAUUGAAUCUCUAUCUCUCUCUGGGUACCAUGUUGAUUUUACUACUGUUGCUUUGCAGUAUAACUUCAAGUCAGCGAUUGUGAUACCUCCUGCCUUGCCUUUGCUGCUUAGAAUUGCUUUUGCUAUUCUAGCUCUCAUCUGGUCCCAGAUGAAUUUGAGGAGUGUUUUCUCGAGUUCUAGGAGGCAUUAGCCAAGAAACAACAAUACUGGAACAGCAGGAAUUCAAAAUCAAUAAGAACUCAAAAUCUGUACGUCAGGAUUUAUCAUCCAAUACCUGAAAAGCAUAGAUGGUUUUCUUGUAGAAAUAAAUAUUUAUCUAAGAAUAAAAUUGCUACCCCAAAUUGGACAAAAUACCUGACACCUGCAGCUUAAAGGAGGCACGAUUUAUUCUGAAUGAUGGUUUCAGAAAGGUUAGUCCAUAGUCGGCUGGGUCUAAGGAAGAAACAGCAUGGAAAGUGUACAGAGGAGGAAAGAUGCUGAACUGACACCAACCAGGAAGCAAAAACAAGGAACAGCCAUGCUAGGUUUCUCUUGAUUGGGACAGUUCUUCAGAAUUUUGCUGCUCUUGACGACCUCGAAAUUUUUGAGAAGGAUUAUUGUUCAGAUUUUUUUAGAAUUUUCUUUAAUUGAGAUAUGUGUGGAAAUUUUUAUUGAUGAUGUGUCUUUGUCAAGACUACAUCUGUCAAUUACUACACCUGGAAUUCACUUACUAUACCUCAGCUGCUGAAGAAUGAGAGUUCUACGCUGGCAAAAUAAAUGGCUUUACUGGAAGUGGAGUGGAAUGAUUAAUGGUUCAAAGUAUUAGUGAUUUGAGUGAUUAUGAAAACUUUGGAUCUGAGUGAACUACUCAGAAAAUUUAAAUGUGUUUAUCGCUAAGACUGCUUUUUAGUCUAUAAACAUACACACUUCUGGGGACAUUAACCUUAAGGAAGUCAGGUUAUAAAGAAAGAAACUUAAAAUGCUAAGGGUUCCAGAACCUCGAGAUAUAUACAAGUAACACAGGAAAAAUUUGUUUUUGUAGUAUACAUACACAUGCACACACACACUCACACACACACACACACACACACACGCACUAGUAAACUCUAUAGAAAUAAUAACACAUAAGAAAGAUCCAAACUUGAAUGAUUUACUUUCUGUUGUUCGAAAAAUUACUUAAUUUUUUUCUUAAAUCCAUUUCUGGGUUGAAUGUUAAGACUAAUUUUUUUAAAAUUUCUGUAAAAUUAAUAUUGUGUUUAUUUGAUCAGAAUUAAUUUUGAAAUGGAUAUAUUAAUUUUCUAUUUGAGAAUUAAGUGUUGUGUGUUUACUAGUUACAGUCACACAGGUUAAGUAUGAUUUUAUAGUUUCAUAUUGUCAAGUUGAACUCUCAACCUAAGGUUGGUUAUUUUUGGUUUUGUGAUCAAAUAUAAAUUAAAUUUAUGUUUCCAACACCAUUAUUUUUGGUAAAGAAAUGUGCUAAAUAUGGCUAAAUUUCCCACAUUUCAUUAUUUGAGAAAGAAAGGGAGGACGUUGCAAGAACCAUAUUCUCUUUCUGAACGCUGAUUUUGUCUUAACUUUUUAGUGUUGCCUUACAUAAAAUGAAAUGAUUAGAUAAAUUGUUUUCAAUAUUACUUAUUAAUCAUAGAUUUAAAUAUAAAAAAUUUUGAAAUUGGAGGUUCUGAAAUUAAUAUUUUCAUAUUCAUUUAAUGAAUUUUAUUUCUAAAGUAAUUACAUAUAUAAUAACAAAUAAAUUAUUUUAAAAACAGAAAAGAGAAAUACAAACUAAUAAGAAAGGAAAACUGAAAAAUAUAAUAAUCCUAAGCAGUAAUAAACUUAGGUCUGGUAAUGUAGAUAGAAGAGAUUUCUAGAGCAUAAUUGAUCAAAACAGUAUUAUUUAUCAAAAGAAAGUGAUUAAUGAAUAAGAAGUGAAAAUAACUUUUUCCUAGGAAAUGUGUAUCAUUUUCAAGGUUGCUCAACUAAACAAAUUGUUAUCUGGGGAGAGUUUACUACUGCCAAGUUCAGGCCACAUCAAUUUCUGUCUUUUUAAUUGAUUUCAAAAGUCCAUAAGGGAAAAAGACUACAUGUUUCCUUUUUUUUCCUAGACUUCUCUUCCUUUACCCAAGAAUCUGAAGCACAACAAAUAAAAAUAUUGUUUAAAUUUUAUUAAUUGAAAGUCAACCAAGACUACAAAUGUAUCUCCAAGACACAACUGUAUAAUUUAAGGAAAAUUAAAUAGUAACACCUGUCCUUUGUUAAUACUGAAAUAAUAUGGUUCUAGCUUCCUAAUGCAGAGUUGCAUACAUAAGGAGGUAUUAAUGUCUGAGAAGAUAAACUGGAGAUAUACCUAAUAAACCAAACAAAAUUUUUUUUUUUUUUUUGUCUUUUUCCUUUUUAUCCGUACUGGGGAUCGAACUCACGACUGCCUGCUUGCAAGGCAGGUGCUUAUGCCACAGAGCUAAAUCUCCAGCCCCAAACCAAACAAAAUUUAAGAGUACUUAAGAAAAACCUAAAAUCUUUAAGAAUUAAAUAUCAACUCAGAGUUGUAUUUGUUAAGAUGCAAACAUCACUUUAAAAAAUAAACAUAAAAUUAUUGAAUGAGUCAGAGAAAGAUAUGUUUUUCACUUUAAAAAUAUGUAUCAUCCUGACCCAUAGCUCUAAUUUCUUUAUUUAAUUCAUAUAUGGUUUGUAGUAAGUCAUUCAGAAAUUGCUAAGGUUAAAAAAUAGCAAGGGAAGAUGAGGGCAAGAUUUGAUGCAUUUUUUUUACUUGUCAAAUUGUAUAAUUUAUUGUGAUAUUUUCAAAUAAGAGUAUAAGUGUUACUUUAUUAUGAGUAAACUAAUUUCAAACUGUUUUUGAAAAUUUCCCCCAUUUACCUGUGAAUACUGACCUAGGGAAGAUAAUCAAUUUUAAAAAUUCUGUUUAUAAACAUAACCUGCAUGCUUAAAGCAUACCUUAUUCUAUAAAAUUAAUCAUUUAAUUACGAUACAAAUCUGUUUGUAUCACAUAAUAUUUACUUAAGUGGUAAAAUAAAUAUAAAAUUAACUUUACCAGAUUAGUUUAUAUAGAGCUUCUUAAUCAAAACACAUUUACUCUGAACCUAAACUACAGAUCAAUAAACUACAAGUUAUUUGGAAGAAUGUGCUUCUUUUCCUAAGGCAAUAAAUGCACUUUAUCUUAUCUUCAAGAAGCCCACAUAUUAGCUGUUUUUGGCUCACGUCCCUGAAGUAUCCUCCUUAGCUUAUGUUCCAUUUGCUUGGUUUGCCUAAAUCUUGAAAAUUUUCCUUCUCAACACAGGAGCUAUUUUUAAAACUCCCCAUAGGAUUUUUGGGAGAGGGAAAAUCAUUUAUCUACUUUUCUGUCUGUGGUUUCUGUCGGUGAGAAAGGAGCCUGUUACAGAAUCUUCCACUGAAAACACGCUCAUGUACUUACAAUGGUGUAUGGUGACUAGAAGGGUAAGAUGAGCCCCAUCACGCCCAAGAAGCUCCAGCCAUGAGUGAGGCCUGGCACUGCAUAACAAGGCUAAUCGCACACUGCAGAAUUCGAGUUGGACCCAUUACUUUCUUCCUUAGAGCUAAAGCUGCCUCAGAAAUUGAAGAGUAAUCUUUUUCAUUUUAAAGCUAAAGGAAUUGAGGUGGGCAUGGUGGGUUGCACCUAUAUUCCCAGCAAACCAGAGGCAGAGGCAGAAGGAUUGCCAAGAGAUUGGGGCCAGCCUGGGCUACACAGUGAGAUUUAGGUCAACCUUAACUACAUUUGAGACCCUGUCUCAAACAAACAAACGAACUCCCAAAAAUAGAUAAGAAAACUGAUGCCAAGAUAAUAUGUGUGUCAUAUGCCUGUUGAUAUAGUAGUUUAUGAAAAUGCUUUAUACAAGUUAGAUUCCUUUGAAUUUAAUUUUAUCUGUUCAAUUAUUUAAAGUUAAAAAGCAUUUAUUGAGCCAGCAUCUUAUUUAGAGUUUUAAUUCUCAUAUUGAAAAUAUGGCUAUGAAUUGCCAAAAACUCUAUCCCUGUCCUCAUAGAUGUUAUACUAUGGGAAUUACACUGAUAAUUACUUGUAUAACAGCUCUUACACAGCACUCUCAAAAAAUAAAUAGUUGUAUUUUAGAGUUGUGCCUCAACCAGAUGGUACAUUAAAUCACCAACAGUCAGAAAUUCAUGAGCCAUUUUCUUUGUCCCUUAGGUUAGUAAAAAAAAAAAAAAAAAAAAAUCUUAUGAUAAAAUCAUGCUAUUAUAUUCCAAGUUUUAAAUUCUAAAAUCUUGUUUCUUAAAGAAGUAUAGUAUUGUCCUAUAGUCAACCAGUUAUUAAAACCAGCAUUUUAUUAGUAAAAGCUUUGAACUUCAUUGGAGUUUUAUGUCCAGAUUGAGUAUUUGACUUCUUUAGAAAACAGAAUGACAACGGGUGUCGAAUAAUGUCUUUGGAGAAUGUUACAUUUACAAAUGAGAAAUAAAAAUGCAAAUUAUAAGCAUGCCUCAAUUUUUACUUCACAAAUUACGGUGGUGGACAUAAAUUCCCCAGUCUUUAGGCACAUUUGGUCACUGUGAAUCAAAUGAAGAAUCAAGAUAUCCUGAGCAACACUUUCAUUUAGGAGAUCUUGUCCAUAAACUGUUCAAAUUAUGUAGAAAGAAUGAUCUCAGAGUUGAAAGCAAUAAUUUUGUAGUUAAUUACUUUAAUGUUUAACUUAAUUUUCUGUUUUCUUUCUCUCUACAGAUAAUUGCAUGAGUUGGUCUCCUGCUUACCCCCACUUUUUUGCCAUUCCAAACAUAUGGAAACAAAGCAGAUUCAUAGCUCUAAGAAUGCACUGAUUAUAGACAUAGAGGCAACAGAAGCCUGAAUUAGCUUCCUUCUUACCAUUGAAACUAUAUGAGCCAGAUGUUAUGACCUCAGUUUAAAUGAUGUGGGUGGCUUCAUUUGUUCAGGCUUUGUGUGUUUGCUUAGACCAUGAAAUCAUAGUAUUACAGAUACUCCAAAGGAAGGCAUAGUUAAAUCUUUACAGCAUGAAGUUUAGAUGAUAAUAUGAGUUUAUGGUUGAGUCAGUGUCAAAGAAUAAUGUUAUUAUCAGAGAGAAAAAUAGACAUACUCAUUAUCAGAAUCACUGAUGCUGGUAGAAAAGAGAGUGGAAAAAACACAAAUAUGUUUGUAUCUCUGGUUGAUUUCCUGUUGAUGGGCUUAGUACAUGGGAACAAAAUAUUCAUUUUACAAAUAUAUUAGACAUUGUUGGUGUUUCACCAAAAGUAACCAUACAGAAGAAAAUUGAAAAAUGUACUUCAGAGAGAAUGAUUUAUUUCUUGUGAUACAGUUAAUUCUGAGGAAUACUUGAUGUAAAGUUAUUUUAAUGUUUUUAAAUGAUAACAGAAGACUGUGUCUUACAAAUCGUAAGCAUGAUUCUAUACCAGUGAUAUAUUACUUUCUUUAACUGUCUUUAAACUUACUUGGCUGUAAUGUCAGGAAGUGUGAACAAUGAUUUUUUUCAGGCUAGAUUAUGCACAAUGUUUUUUUUUUUUUAAUGUGAAUCCAUGCACAAUAUUUUGAUUUACUGGUUUAUCCUGUUUGGUAAUAUUAUCUCAACUGUAAAUAUUAGAUGUAUUCUACCAGAUGGUAGCUGACACUAAUAUUUGGAAUAAUUAUUUAUAAUAAAGCUAAAUAAUACUAAAAAAGGAAAUAAUGAAAAUCAUAUUUUAAAUGUAUAUAAAUUUUUGGUAAUUAAGAUGAAACAAUGAAAUAUAACAAUCAUAGUAGAAACUAGAAAAUAUUGUAAUUAAAACAAUUAUGUAUGCUCAGAAUUCUAAGUGAUAGGCUAUGGGGUUUAAAUACUAAUUUCUAAUUUCUGCCUCUGAUAUUUUUAAAUCCCUUCACCAAUAUUUUCUAUUCUUAUUUUGAAUGACUUAUUUUCUAUCCCUAAUCCUUUUGCUAAUCCAGGUUAUUAAGGUCCACAUCACUGAGUUUUUGGCAACCAUAUCCUCCAGUUCAGAACCAUAUUAAUAUAUGGAUAAAAUUCUACUUCUCUAAGCAAUCAUGUUAUAACUAUCACAUUUUCAGUUUUAUUUUGCAAGCAAGAUUAUUUGAUUUCCAACAUCAUUUUUGUAACAUGUUAUUAAUAGUUCUUGUGGAUGUAUGUCACAAUGCAUGUUAAUAACUCUUAAAAAGCCUCAAGAAUCUCAGUAAACUAAAUGUAAUUCUUGCUAAUAUCCUAUAUACUGCAAGCUAUAUGACUCUCCUGAGAUUUGUCCCAUUUUAGUCAUUAAAGGUGAAUUUUAUUACUCUUCUCUCACUCAGAACACAUUUACUAGUUCCCAAAAGCUCCAGGGUCCAAUGCUGAGUGUUCUCAUUCAUAUGUAGAACCAAUAAAGUUCAUUUUGUAAGUGCAUAGAGAAGUACUCACUAAAAGAAACAGUAGGGAUCAGCGAAUAUAAAUUAUAUCUAUAUAGUUAAUAUUAAACCAUAGUUUUUAUACAAGAAUAAAUAUAUUUUAAUGGUAUACAGCAGAAAGUUGACUAUAGUUUACUGAAUAUUUUAUAACAAAUGGCUAGGAAUUCAAAAGUUACCAUCACAAAUAAGUGAUUACAUGCAUAAAAAUAUAGAAAUCCUAUAUUGUGAUACAGUCAUUACCAACUGUAUAUAUGCAACAUCAACUCAUUAUGCUGUACUCCAUAAAUAUUUGUAAUUAUUUUACCAAUUAAAAAUAA